UCCACCCCAGCCACACCGUGACUGUGAUGUCUUCACAAUAGCCCUCCUCCAUGACGGCUGUCCUCCAAGUUCUCAAAGGCGCAUGUUGCCACCUUCCAGGAGAUGCUGGGACCCACAUGGAGAACCCCCCGACGUGGAGUGCCCGGCCAGUGUGGGUGCCCCGAGGUGCAGCCACUGAGAUGGUGCUGGCAUGCUACCCUGGAAGGGGGAGAUCAGGAGCCUUGUUUACAGCUGGGGAGUCUCAGGUAUGGAGAGAUCAGUGACUUCCCUGGCCCUGCAAAUGAAGGAAGUGGAAGCUCUGGGAUUUGAACCCUGCUCUGACCCAUCUCUUCUAAUUUCAAGGGUUUUGUGGAAGGAGCAGAGUGUGACUUCCAAGGCUACGUCAUGAAAUCUCUCGCAGCUUCUGUCUUGGUCUUGGGUUUGAUCCCUCCAGGGAAGCCAGCUGCCUUGCCAUGAAGUCACUCAGGCAGCCCAUGGAAGGCCCUCAUGGAAAGGACCUGAAGUCCUACCUCCAGCUGUCACCAGCUUGCGGCUCUUAUGAACGAGCCCCUCAGGACGCCUGGGUGGCUCAGUCAGUUGGGCGUCUGACUUCAGCUCCGGUCAUGAUCUCACGGUUC